rnacentral:lncRNA from 1 species
UUGAUUACAAUAUUAAGGAUUAAUGCAUCUAUUUAAUUGUUUAGGGGAAUUUAGAAUAUAUUUUCGGUCCAAAAUAAUGAUCCAAAACCAAUAUUUUCAUAUUUUCAUAUUUUCAUUUUUAGUAAAAACAUUUAUUGUUUUGAAUUAAUAUCACAUUCUAAUUCGAUAUAACUUCAUUGAUUUUUAUUUCCGUAAAAUUUCUGUCAUUAUUAGUUUUUUUUCUUACUUCUAAUUAACUUUAGUUUUUAUUGUUUUUGUUAAACUUCAUACAUUUUUGUGAUUUUUAAACUUUUUUUAUUUUUUUGUGAACAUAAAUGAAAAACGUUGACAUGUUGUUGUUUAAUUUGGUAUUAGUUUGUCUUCUCUUAUGGUUUCCUUAUAUUUCGUACUCUUUUUGUGAGGACUCAACCUUGGACAACACUUGGUUCAAAACGUAUGGUAUUUACAUGAUAACUUGCGAGAGAAUUUUUUUUUUUUUAAAAAGACAUUUAGUUACCAAAUGAAGUUAAUUAAGUAGAUAACUAAUGUUGCACAAAAAAAAAACAUUUUAUUAGUUCAUGAUGCAUGCUGCUCAACAGGAUUACUUACGAAGGAUGAGUUGUUUUGUUUCACAGAUUGUUAAAAUGUUAAU